rnacentral:rRNA from 1 species
UACGUAGGGGGCUAGCGUUGUCCGGAAUCAUUGGGCGUAAAGCGCGUGUAGGCGGUCCGGUAAGUCCGCUGUGAAAGUCGAGGGCUCAACCCUCGAAUGCCGGUGGAUACUGUCGGGCUUGAGUACGGGAGAGGCGAGUGGAAUUCCUGGUGUAGCGGUGGAAUGCGCAGAUAUCAGGAGGAACCCCGGUGGCGAAGGCGGAUCUCUGGGCCAUAACUGACGCUGAGGAGCGAAAGCAUGGGGAGCGAACAGG